AUAGGGUAGAGGCAGAAGUAGACGCAAUUAAACAUGAAGGAUUGUGAAGGCAAAAGAUGAACCAGCCAGCCUAGUCUCUGGAUGCAUAAGCUCCAAGUGUGGAGGAGACCCGGAGAGAGAAGCAGACUGUUCUCUGUGUUUACCUGUAAGCACAGGCUGCAACCUGCCAUGCUGUUUUUAAAUGCCCAAGGGCUGGUGACAAGAGGGUUUCCCUUUGCCAUCUGGACCUGAUUGCCUUAGAGUGAAAGUCGACAUUGCAAACCACAGUGACACGUGGAUAAAACUCACGAUGUUGGGGGGAGAAGAGCAAAACAUAUGCUUCACAAUAAAAACACUCAAUAUCCUAGGAAUAGGAGGGAACUUCCUCAACCAGAUAAAGGGCAUCUAUGAAAAACCCAGAGCUAACAUCACACUUAAUCGUGAAAGACUGAAAGCUUUCCCUCUAAAAUCAGAAACAAGAAAAGGAUGUCUACUACUGCCACUGCUAUUCAACAUUGUUCUGGAAAAUUCUAGGCAGAACAAGUAGGCAAGAGAAAAGAAGAGGUAUCCAGAUUGGAAAGGAAGAAAUAAAACUGUCUCUGUUUGACAGUUGUCAUAAUCUUGUACAUAGAAGAUUAUGAAGAAGCUACCAAAAACUAUGUGAAUGACUAAACAAGUUUAGUAUGGCUGCAGGAUACAAGAUCAAUAUGCAAAAACCAGCUGUAGAUCUUCUAUAUGUUGAAAAGAAGAAAAUUUAGAAUGAAAUUAAGAAAAAUUCAUU
rnacentral:lncRNA from 1 species